rnacentral:rRNA from 1 species
AUUGAACGCUGGCGGCAGGCCUAACACAUGCAAGUCGAACGAGUGGCGGACGGGUGAGUAAUGUCUGGGAAACUGCCUGAUGGAGGGGGAUAACUACUGGAAACGGUAGCUAAUACCGCAUACCAUCAGAUGUGCCCAGAUGGGAUUAGCUAGUUGGUGGGGUAACGGCUCACCAAGGCGACGAUCCCUAGCUGGUCUGAGAGGAUGACCAGGCAAACUGGAACUGAGACACGGUUCAGACUCCUAAGGGGGGCAGCAAGGGGGAAUAUUGCACAAUGGGCGCAAACCUGAAGGAGCCAUGCCGGGUGUAAGGAAGAGGCCUUCGGGUUUGAAAAGACUUUCAGCGGGGAAGAGGUACCCGCAGAAGGAGCACCGGCUAAAUCCGUGCCAACAGCCGCGGUUAUAC